GGUAGGGUGGCCGAGUGUUUAGGCGGCGGGUUGUAGCCCCGAAAACAGAGGUUUAAGUCCUCUCCCUGCCA
rnacentral:tRNA from 1 species